rnacentral:rRNA from 1 species
AUGGGGUUGCUAGCUCUGAAGAUGCUCAUGUCUAGGCGGCGGGAUAGCAAGCAUCUUUGCGGCCAGAUUCAAGCCCGUAAUAGAUUGGUUACUUCAGUGGUUAAAAGAAAGAUCUCUUCAUGCCAACACAAUAACAAUCAAGGUUGCAAGAGAGUGGCAUUUUCAGGGGCAGACCUUCCAGAGGUGGUCAAUACACCAAUCGUGCCUGUAAAAUUCCUCCACCUCAAGUAUCUGUCUAUUUCUCUUGAAGGAAAUGGGGCUUUUUCCCCAGACUAUGAUUACUUUUCUCUGGUUUCUUUGCUGGAUGCUUGUCCUGUCUUGGAAACUUUCAACUUGUUUGUGUCACAGGAUCGCAUGAAACACGAUUCGGUUCUUGGAGACCCGUCGUCACGUCUUAGGCAGAUGCCUGAAUACCGCCACGACAACAUUAAGAAUGUGAAGAUUAUUGGGUUUUGCUCUGCGAAGAGCAUGGUCGAGCUGGCAUGCCAUAUUCUCGAGAAUGCAACAUCACUCGAGUGCCUUACUUUGGACACGAUACGUGCUGUUUUUAGUAUUGACAGACACAUUCACAAAACCGGUGAAUGUGGCCACAUAGGCAGGCAUAUGAUCAGAGAAGCACGUAAGGCGCUCUUGGCUGUCAAAAGAUAUAUUGUGGGAAUAGUUCCCUCCACAGUCAAGUUAAAUGUCCUGGAGCCUUGCAAGCUAUGCCAUGCUUUGGCUGUUUAG